AUGAAGGAAGGUAAAUGUUCAAAAUACUUUCCUAAAGACUUUCGGUGUGAUAUGAUUGUUGAUCAAGAUGGAUAUCCGGUUUAUAGAAGAGGGGACAACGGUCACACUGUCGUUAAGAAUGGAAUCGAUAUUGACAAUAGUACAUCCAUCAAAUAUUUGUUCAUGUACAUCAACAAAGGCUAUGAUAGAAUAAUUGUUGCAGUUGUCAUGAAUCAAGAUGGAAAUUCUAUUCAACAUCAAGUUGUCAAUGAGAUCAAGUAG